ensembl:snoRNA SNORA74 Small nucleolar RNA SNORA74
UCCAGCGGCAGUCAGCUGUGCAGGCCUGAACUGUGCCUGAGCUAGUGUUACUCUGCUGGAAAAGAAAGGCACUGCUGUUUAGGCUGUGUUCAGGGCUUGCUGUUUUAGCAGUCUUGUAGCACGGCCGUGGUAGAGUCUUGUCCACUUGAGAGUGGGCUGCUCACUUAAACCCAUGUGGGCCGCCCUAGUCUGUGGGCAAACAUU